UACAUUGCAUUAGAUUAAUAAAUCAAUUUUAUAAUACAUAGAAGAUGACAAAUAUCAACAACAAUCUGUGUCACCUCUUCAUACAAGUAUAACAUGUAGCGUAAUUACAAGGUGAAAUAUUCUCAUAAUACUGGUUAUUUGACACAAAUGUUGAAAAAAUAUUAAAUUGUAUUAUUAUAUUUGAUAUACAUACAAAUGUAUUUCUGUUGCAUAAUGGACUAAUAAUCAUAAUGAGUAACAACACAGUCAUUCAUAAGCCACUACUGUGGCUGGCUGGCAAUUGGCUCGCGCUUGCCUCCUGCUGACAGACAUAUUUAGUGGAAUCCAAAAUGACUCAGAACCACACUUGAAUGUUAAUAUAUAAUACGGAAUGGAUACGAAAAUGUUUUGUUUUGGUUUUGUCUGGUUUAGACAUGUUGUGACAGUUCAGUACGGGUCUGUCACGUGUAUCAUCUGAUCAUUAAAUGAUUCCAUUUAAUUUGAAAAAAGAAAAAUUAAAAAACGAGUCAGUAUUUCGUUUUUCUGUAUGGACCAAACGGAUGUUUAUUUUCCUACUUUCAGCCCAAAACGGAAAAUAUAAUAAACAAGGAAACCAAAAUGAAAUAAUGAAUCUAAUUUCCAUUUUCCGUUAUUGUUAUACCAUAUCUCAUGGUACAUUUCUGCUGUGUGGCCACGCUAUGUGCAUGCGCAUGUAUGGUCCAGUCCCAGUAGAUCGCUGGAGUCCCACGUUCUCAUGGCCUCACUCGAGCCGUACAUGUCUCUAAUUAAUGACAUGUUUAUGAAUGGAGUGACAUAUCAUGAGAUCUCAGAAAAGUUGCAAGAAAUGGGUGUCCAGCGGGGAGGCUCUGAAAUCAGUAUCUGGAGACUACUUGCCCAACAUAACAUGCAGAGAAAAGGACACACUUCAGACUCAGACCUUGAAAUUUCAGUCUCUCAUGCAGUAAAUGAGGUAAGACUAUUUAGUAUUUACAAACAACAGGAAAAAAAACAUGUACUAUUUGCUGUAGCAUGUAGACAAUCGAGUGUGUGUGUGUGUGUGUGUGUGUGUGUGUGUGUGUGUGUGUGUGUGUGUGUGUGUGUGUGUGUGUGUUUUUUUUUUUUUUAACAGACUGGAUCUACUUAUGGCCGUAAAUGAUGACUUACCAUGAAGAACGGCAUCAAGUAUGUCAUUAAGUGGUCCUAAAUGUUUAAAUUUUAGGGUUGUGUAUGCCAUUUACAGUAAAGUUAUUGAUUCUUGUGGAGUAUAUGGGACACAAAUUGCACAUGGACCAAAAUGAAAAGCUGGUUAUGUUUGAAGUGACUCACAUGAUUGCUGUAGAUGGCUAUUGCAAGAAAAUUGUUGCAAAUGCAACUAUGCCAGUAAAAAACAACCUAGCCAUCUACGAAGAAGUGUACAGGUCAGUGCUUUAUGUUCUGUUUGACAGAAAAUAUUUGAAUCAAUUUUAACCAUACCAAUAAUAAAGUGUUUCAUACUUGUUCAUAUAGACCUGCAAUUACAUUUUAUGGAAUGUGGGCUCAACUUCAUGUGGCUCAUGGAAAAGAGUUUUACCUCUGCCUUUACGUGCAAGAGAGGCUGUCAGAAUAUAGACACAACCAGCAAAGAGAGCCAUACCUCCAAACUCAGUCAACAAGGGUAAUGUUAACCAUCUGCAAGCCAUCCACCUACAUUACACCAGUGGUGAAAAGUAACCAAGUAUAUUAACUCAGGUCAAGGAAGGAAGGAAGGACAGAUGAAGGAAGGAGGAAAGAGGGACAGAAGGGAAGAAAGAAAGAGGAUGGAGGGAGGACAGAAGGAAGGAAUGGAGGAAAGAAGGAACAGUCAAUACAGAUGGGGUCAAUUUUACCCGGGAAGACAAUAUGAAGGUUAUGUACUGCACUUGAGUACAAGUUUGAGGUACCUACUUUAUUUGAGUAUAUCCAUUUUCUGCUAUCUUAUUCUUCUAUUCACUACAUAAUGAGUAAUUACAAUUUAAUAAUGUCAUAAUAUAUUAUAUCAGUCAUAUUUAGUUUUUUUUUGGUGCAUUAUCAGUCAUGAUUAGGUUGUUUUUUUUUGUGUACCACCAGGCCAGAAAAAAAUUCUAACACUAACUUUUCUCUAGUUCACUAUGUUACUAUGUUAACAGACCUCUGCCCACCUUUUCCUUUUUUUUUGUUUUAACAGAAUCACGCAGUGGAAAGGAUGUGGCCAGAAAUCAAUAAUCGAGUGAAGUACCCACUAAAGGAGGCCCUGGCACAGCCUGACAAGGUUCUGCACAUGCAAUCUGACCUGCCAGAUGAGCCAGAUUGGUAUAAAUGGAUUUGUGCAAUCAUGGAAUGCUCACAGGAUCCCAGGGAAAGGGAUACCAAAUCACCUGGCAGGGACUGGAACACCGACAAAGAUCACAACAGAUCUUCUACCAGAUGCCAUAGCUGCAGCUUACAUGUACGACAGCGACAUGGGAUCAUACCUCACCAGAAUAUCUUCAUUUGGAUGUAACCUACAUGUCUGGAGAUCUUUAACUUCUGUUUAAGUAGGCAUAGUGGAACUAUGGACUAAAAAUAAGCUGUCUUUUUGUUUACAUUAAAACAAUCAAUGCCACUCCA